CAAUUCAGAGGAUGGAUUGGAGGGAGUGUG
rnacentral:piRNA from 1 species